CAUCACUGAACGCCAGCUAGCACGAGAACACCCAUUCAGUCGCUCUCUGACCGUCAUAGGGAGUGUACGUCGCGUUUCUGCUCGUCCCUCCUACACGUGUUCCCUAUAGCGACUUAACACGCUAACUUAUUCCCCCCGUGGACGCUCUUCCUCUGUGUUUCCAAGAGUGUUACUCCACUCGGAGGGACUUGAGUGAUAAACCUAAAUGCUGAAAUACGACGAGCUUUUAAAGGAUGGUUAGAUAAUUAAGAAAUUGGCUACUUGCAUCGUUCGGUGGUCGCCGGGGAGAGGAGUGAGGGCGUCAUUUCGUGUGUUUCCGUUCUGGACUGAGGAGUUAGGGAAGGUGUGAGGAGUACGGGCUAAUAUACAUCUCACCUGCACCUGCUUGUACCUGCCCCAGCCUGCCUGCCACAGCCUGUCCGUUCAGCCUACAUGUGCGUGUGUGGUGACGCGAGGCGGUGGUGAUGUAAGGGAACGCGGCGAGGCGAGGCUGUGGGUGUGCUGGUGGAGGCUGGCAGGUGUGAGUGGGAGCAGCAGUGUGAAGGAGGCAAGGGUGGACAGGACAGGUGUGCACUAAGGUGUCACCACCAAUUAACACACCUCACUCACUGAUCAUCGUCACGGAUUUUCUCACUCGCUCAUUUCAACGUUAUGGGUAUGUGUUGCAAGGCGGCUUUCAUGCACGGUGAGAAAGUGAGUCUUGUGGCUGGAACUACCGUGUUGCGAGUCAGGUCCUUUAUAGCGUAAUGAAGUGAUUGAGGUGUUGCAAAUAAGACAUUAAUAUCGAUUGAGGAAAGCAUCUUUUUUGUUGAUAGUAUUGCAAAUAUUUUUGUUCACAGGAUAAAUUCUUUUCUUUUAAUUUACAUUAUGCAAAGCAGUAUCUACAUAAGGUAAGGAAGUGAAUGUCGCGUUGCAAAUAAGACACUUAUAUCAGUUAAGGAACGUAUCUUUGUGUUAGUGUCACAAAUCGGUUUUCUUUUUUUUUUCACAGGAAAAAUAAGUUAUUUUUGUUGUAUUUUCUUCAUAUUGCGCAACUGAAACUUCAUAUUGCGGUGAAGGACAAAAUGUUGCAUUGCUGAUCAGACCUCCCAUGCACUUAAUAACUAAACAUUCUGGUGCGAGUGUUUCUGUUUCGGAAAAUCAAGCUUCGUAAUUAGGUCAGCAAUAUAACUGUUUUGUUGUUGCCUGUGUUACUUUAUCGGAUAUAGAACAUAUGUGUGGGGGGUAAAGAAUAAUCGUGUGCAAUAUAUUUCUUUGUUAUGGUGUCAGGUUGUGGGGUAAGGAACAAUUUUGUGCCUCGUGUUAUUUUAUGAGGUAAAGAGAAGAUUUCUUUGUCCCACUGGUACUUUAUAGAGAAGGGGAACUUUUGAUACGUUUAGAGUAAGGAAUAGAUUUCUUCACUAUUUAUUUCAAGGAGCGAGUUUUUUUUUUUUUUU